rnacentral:rRNA from 1 species
UACGUAGGGGCCAAGCGUUGUCCGGAAUUAUUGGGCGUAAAGAGCUCGUAGGCGGUUUGUCGCGUCGGAUGUGAAAGCCCGGGGCUUAACCCCGGGUCUGCAUUCGAUACGGGCAGACUGGAGUGUGGUAGGGGAGAUCGGAAUUCCUGGUGUAGCGGUGAAAUGCGCAGAUAUCAGGAGGAACACCGAUGGCGAAGGCAGGUCUCUGGGCCACUACUGACGCUGAGGCGCGAAAGCGUGGGUAGCAAACAGG